GGAGUUUGGGCCGUGUCUCAGUCCCAAUGUGGCCGGUCACCCUCUCAGGUCGGCUACUGAUCGCUGCCUUGGUAGGCCGUUACCCCACCAACUAACUAAUCAGACGCAGGCCCAUCCCUUGCCGAUAAAUCUUUGGCGGGAAAAAGAUGUCUCCAUCCCGCAUUAUGAGGUUUUAAUCCCGGUUUCCCGAGGCUAUCCCUCUGCAAGGGGCAGGUUGCCUACGCGUUACUCACCCGUCCGCCGCUUUCCACUCAUUCACGCUACCGAAGUAUUGGUCAUGAGCUUCUCGCUCGACUUGCAUGUGUUAGGCACGCCGCCAGCGUUCAUC
rnacentral:rRNA from 1 species